rnacentral:rRNA from 1 species
UACGUAGGGUGCGAGCGUUGUCCGGAAUUACUGGGCGUAAAGAGCUCGUAGGUGGUUUGUCGCGUUGUUCGUGAAAACUCACAGCUUAACUGUGGGCGUGCGGGCGAUACGGGCAGACGUGGAGUACUGCAGGGGAGACUGGAAUUCCUGGUGUAGCGGUGAAAUGACGCAGAUAUCAGGAGGAACACCAAUGGCGAAGGCAGCACUC